CCCAGACUCCUACGGGAGGCAGCAGUGGGGGAUAUUGCACAAUGGGGGAAACCCUGAUGCAGCGACGCCGCGUGAGUGAAGAAGUAUUUCGGUAUGUAAAGCUCUAUCAGCAGGGAAGAAGAAAGACGGUACCUGAGUAAGAAGCCCCGGCUAACUACGUGCCAGCAGCCGCGGUAAUACGUAGGGGGCAAGCGUUAUCCGGAUUUACUGGGUGUAAGGGGGGCGUAGACGGUAUGGCAAGUCUGAAGUGAAAGCCCCGGGCUCAACCUGGGAACUGUUUUGGAAACUGUUAAACUAGAGUGCUGGAGAGGCAGGCGGAAUUCCUAGUGUAGCGGUGAAAUGCGUAGAUAUUAGGAGGAACACCAGUGGCGAAGGCGGCCUGCUGGGCUUUUACUGACGCUGAGGCUCGAAAGUGUGGGGAGCAAACAGGAUUAGAUACCCUAGUA
rnacentral:rRNA from 1 species